GAUGAAGAACGUAGCGAAAUGCGAUAAGUAAUGUGAAUUGCAGACUUCAGUGAAUCAUAGAAUCUUUGAACGCACAUUGCGCCCGCUAGUAUUCUGGCGGGCAUGCCUGUUCGAGCGUCAUUUCAACCCUCAAGCCCAGCUUGGUGUUGGGGGCCGGCCGCGACUUAACCGCCGCGGCCGCCCCCGAAAUACAGUGGCGGUCUCGCUGCAGCCUCCCUUGCGUAGUAGCACACCUCGCACCGGAGCGCGGCGCGGCCACGCCGUUAAACCCCCAAACUUCUGAAUGUUGACCUCGGAUCAGGUAGGAAUACCCGCUGAACUUAAGCAUAUCAAUAAGCGGAGGA
rnacentral:misc_RNA from 1 species